rnacentral:rRNA from 1 species
UUAUAAUAAAAAUUUAAAUAAUAAAAAAUUAAAUGAAAUCAUUAAAUUAAAAUAAUUUGGCGGUAUUUUAAAUAGUUAGAGGAAUUUGUUAAAUAAAUGAUACUCCACGAAUGGAAUAUCCUAAUAUAAUUUUUAUGUAUUGUUGUAUCAAAAUUAUUUUAAAAGAAUCAAAAUUGAAAUAUAAAAUUUUAUUUUAAUUCAAAUCAAAAUGUAGAAUUAUUAGGUUUAAAUGAAUUACAAUUUAAUUUAGUAUUAGAAUUAUUUUUUUAAUUAAAUUAAUAAAAGAGGAUUUAAAAGUAAAUUUAAAAAAAUAUUUAAAUUGAAAUAUUAAUUAAAAUAUG